CGCAUCUGUGCAUGCAGCAUAUCAAUAAGCGGAGGAAAAGAAGCUAACAAGGAUUCCCUUAGUAACGGCGAGUGAAGCGGGAAGAGCUCAAAUUUGAAAUCUUCAAGGUUUUACCUUGACGAAUUGUAGUUUAAAGAAGUGUUUUCUGUUGAAGUUUUGGUAAAAGUUCUUUGGAAUAGGACAUCAUAGAGGGUGAGAAUCCCGUAUUUGACCAUUAUUUUCAGCUGUGUGAUACACUUUCAAAGAGUCGGAUUGUUUGGGAAUGCAGUCCAAAAUGGGUGGUAAAUUUCAUCUAAAGCUAAAUAUUGGCGAGAGACCGAUAGCGAACAAGUACCGUGAGGGAAAGAUGAAAAGAACUUUGAAAAGAGAGUUAAACAGUACGUGAAAUUAUCAAAAGGGAAGCGUUUGACACCAGUGUUGUUUUCUCGAAAAUCAAUUAAAAAGAGUUAGAUUUUGUUGUGUAUUGACCUUAACAGCUUGCAUUUCAAUUUUCUUGCUUUUUUUAAUGCACUUUUCGUUUAACAAGUCAACAUCAGUUUCUUUUGUUGUAAAAAGGUCAUUGGAAGGUGGCUUUCUUUUCGGAGAAAGUGUUUAUAGCCUUUGACUCCUGCAAUCGGAGAGACUGAGGUCUGCAGCGUAGAUCCUUCGGGGUUAGAUACAUUUGUGCUAAGUUAUAGCUUUUUAUAGACAACUUGUUGACUAUGAUUAGUCUUGUAGCUUACUCGCUUAUGCUAUUUUACCUACGCUUAGGAUGUUGACGCGCGUGUGUGCGUG
rnacentral:rRNA from 1 species